rnacentral:rRNA from 1 species
AUUGAACGCUGGCGGCAGGCCUAACACAUGCAAGUCGAGAGAGCGGCGGACGGGUGAGUAAUGUAUGGGGAAAGGCCAGAUAGAGGGGGAUAACUACUGGAAACGGUGGCUAAUACCGCAUACUAUCGGAUGAACCCAUAUGGGAUUAGCUAGUAGGGGGGGUAAAGGCUAACCUAGGCGACGAUCCAUAGCUGGUCUGAGAGGAUGACCAGCCACACGGUGAUUGAGACACGGCCCAGACACCUCCGGGAGGCAGAAGUGGGGAGUAUUUCACAAUGGGCGCAAGCCUGAUGCAGCCAUGCCGCGUGUAUGAAGAAGGCCUUAGGGUUGUAAAGUCCGUUCAGCGGGGAGGCGUUACCCGCAGAAGAAGCACCGGCUAACUCCGUGCCAGCAGCCGCGGUAAUUC